rnacentral:siRNA from 1 species
AGAGAUCUCUCCCAGCGUGCC